CGGCGUAGGGUGGGGCGGCUCCCUCGCUCCGGGUCGCGGCGGAGGACGGCGUGGCAGAGAAAGGAGGACGGCGCGUCGGAGGAGGCUCCUGCGCGGCAGCGGAGGGGGCUCCUUCGCGGCCGCGGAGGGUCUCCCGCGCGGUGGCGUCGUGUCCGAGGGGGAUCCCAGGCGAUGUUGGGGAUGAGGCCGCCGGUUGGGGAUAAGGUGGGAUUUUUUUUCUUUUUUUAAUGCUCCAAUCCUCCGUGUGGGUGAGAAUCCGAGAGGAUAAGGCUGCGAGUCGGCUGCGAGACUGACCUAUGGCCUGAGUGGUCCUAGCCAACGACUAAUAAUUAGGGACAUGAUACUGUGGCUUCAACGACAGUUAAAAGGGGACGGAGGGAGUAUCUCACAAAAAGCAACAUGCCCAGUGGAGUACAGCAGGCCCCGAGUGGCUCUAUGGUGGGAACCACGCAGAGCAGAGCAGAAAACUGCGACGGUGACCGCACCACUCAGAGAUUUAGCGGCACGAACCUCGUUUCCACUGUUUCUCUUCUUCUCUUGCUCCCACGAUUCUUUUUUUCCGGCCAU
rnacentral:lncRNA from 1 species